rnacentral:rRNA from 1 species
UGAACGCUAGCGGCAGGCUUAACACAUGCAAGUCGAGGGGUAACAGGGAUUGCUUGCAAUCCGCUGACGACCGGCGCACGGGUGCGUAACGCGUAUGCAACCUACCUUUUACAAGGGGAUAGCCCAGAGAAAUUUGGAAUAAUACCCUAUACGAUCAUCAAUUGGCAUCAAUUAAUGAAGAAAACUCCGGUGGUAAAAGAUGGGCAUGCGUCCUAUUAGUUAGUUGGUAAGGUAACGGCUUACCAAGACUUCGAUAGGUAGGGGUCCUGAGAGGGAGAUCCCCCACACUGGUACUGAGACACGGACCAGACUCCUACGGGAGGCAGCAGUGAGGAAUAUUGGACAAUGGAGGCAACUCUGAUCCAGCCAUGCCGCGUGCAGGAAGACGGCCCUACGGGUUGUAAACUGCUUUUAUACAGGAAGAACUAUAUCUACGUGUAGAUAUUUGACGGUACUGUACGAAUAAGGAUCGG